UCUUUCCUCUUCUUUGCUCCAUUGAAGCACCAACUUUCUUCUUCUAUUUUUUUUUCUCUAAGAAGAUGGCUGAUUUUGGGAACAAUCUCUUAAAAAAUAUAAUACGAACUAUUGUUAUGGCUCCAGUAUAUACUACAGCUGGUUAUAUUGCAUACAGAACUGGACGUUGAUCUAAAGAGAUCCGACAUUGGGGAGGACAAAAGGGUUUUGAUCAACCACCUAAAUCGCGCCCCUUCUGGGCCUGGUGGUGAUUGCUUAUUUUCGGUAAUAUAAUGCAAAUCUAUUUGCAUCAAGAUUUGAAUUAUCUAGAUUCGAGUUCGAAAUUUUAUUACAAUUUAGUGAAUUUGUUGGAUUUAAAAUCUUUAAUAUAUAGUUAUUAACUGAUUUUUAGUCAGCUAAACAAAUUGAAUUCACAAAAGUCUACAUUGCGUAUGCUACACCCACCCUAAUGUGUUGUCCCAAAUGAGAUAUUUUCCCUUCAACAAAGAUUUGGAAUUACUAACAUUA